CGGGUACCAUUGCUAGAUGGUCACUUUGAUUGGUAUAAAAAUUUACUCCUAUGCUACUGACUUAGGUUCGGACCUAUGAGGUCACACACAUUAGAGUUCAUGAUCCGAUCAGAUGGUUGAUCAACGAUUAAGAAUCAUUCUAGGGUUAAAUGAUCAAUACGAUUGACAUUUAACCCAGUGCAAGUGUUGUAGGAGGAUCGAUUAGCAAUUUGAUUGCUACUUGGCUUAAUUUGAUUAAGCCAAUGGGUUG
rnacentral:lncRNA from 1 species